GGGCAACACGGGAGUGCCGUGUGUUGUUAUUAAUUUUCAAAAAGAGAAAAUGUGGGUGAUACGGGACUGCAGGGUCUUCUUUUUCUCUCCGUGUUUUACAUCUUUUACUUUUCUUCCGCCUGAUACGGGACAGUAGGGCCAUCGUUCUUUCUCUCUUUCUCUUUUUUGUUUUUACUUUCGGAAGAUACGUCUCUUAUUAGUUUUCGUUGAUGGUAUGCUAUCUGCGCAUAGUGAAGGAGUCGCACCUCGUCAGUUCAGGGGGAACUACUACAUGAGCGUGUUCCUCGAAGACGAAGUUCGAGUUAUCAGGGAGGUGACGAUGAGCUUGAUGCCGAAGACGGAGAGGGCUUUGAGGACAGCGGACAACACGAGUCGCGGAUGGGAGGUUGUUAGCCAUGCGACCGUAGUUGACGCCUAUCGCGCCUGUGGCGACGUCUGCGGCGGAGAUGAGAGAGAUAAGGAGGAGGAUGGAGAUGGCUUCCAUUGUUGUGGAUGUUAGAAGCAUCGUGCUUGUUUUAUUCUCUUUGCUAUAGAGAGAGAAAAGUGAGAGUGGAUAGUCUAGCUAGAGUUUGACUUAGGAAAGUUGUAUAGCUAGCAUGUGGAAAAAUAGGUAGUCUGACAAGGGUUGAUGGAAAUAAGCUUUUGCUUUUAAGGUAAAUGUGUACUGGAAGCAUUUUUCGAGAUAUUUAAAAGUGUCAAAUGCAAUAUGCAUGUCAAGUGUUGAACAGUUGUGCUUCAUCCUAAAUUUUUAUUAACUGAGCUUGAAUUUAUUUGGAGUCCGUUCGUACUUCUUUUUUCUUGCCUAUAUAGUGGGGAGCUUGUCUCCUCAUUUCCUACACAAAG
rnacentral:lncRNA from 1 species